rnacentral:rRNA from 1 species
UACGGGAGGCAGCAGUGGGGAAUAUUGCACAAUGGGCGAAAGCCUGAUGCAGCUAUGCCGCGUGUAUGAAGAAGGCCUUAGGGCUGUAAAGUACUUUCAUCGGGGAGGAAAAAACAAAACUAAUAAUUUUAUUUCUUGACGUUACCCGAAAAAGAAGCACCGGCUAACUCCGUGCCAGCAGCCGCGGUAAUACGGAGGGUGCUAGCGUUAAUCAGAAUUACUGGGCGUAAAGAGCACGUAGGUGGUUUUUUUAAGUCAGAUGUGAAAUCCCUGGGCUUAACCUAGGAACUGCAUUUUGAAACUGAAAUACUAGAGUAUCGUAGAGGGAGGUAGAAUUCUAGGUGUAGCGGUGAAAUGCGUAGAUAUCUGGAGGAAUACCUGUGGCGAAAGCGGGCCUCCUAAACGAAUACUGACACUGAGGUGCGAAAGCGUGGGGAGCAAAACAGGGAUUAGAUACC